rnacentral:lncRNA from 1 species
CCCAAUCCCGCCCAGUCCGCUGGUGCAAGCACCAGCGACACCGUCAGCCCCAGCGCAUACACGAGGCAAGUCGUGGAGGUGACGCCAGAGUUCACCUCGGUCACCAACAGCCGCGAGCGCUUCGUUGUGGUUGCGAUGAGCGCCUUGCUCCUGCUAAUCAGCUGUACGCUCUUCGCCGUCCUCUUCACGCUGCUCUCAGACGACAG